CCUACGGGUGGCUGCAGUCAAGAACCUUCCACAAUGGACGAAAGUCUGAUGGAGCGACGCCGCGUGAUUGAUGAAGUCCUUCGGGACGUAAAGAUCUUUUGUAGGUUAGAAAGUUUAUUGAUCAACCUAAGAAUAAGGAGCUUCAAAUCUCGUGCCAGCAGAAGCGGUAAUACGAGAGCUCCAAGCGUUAUCCGGAUUUAUUGGGCGUAAAGGGUGCGUAGGCGGUAAUGUUAGUCGAGCGUUAAAAAUCUAAGCUUAACUUGGAAAGUGCGUUCGAAACGGCAUUACUUGAGAGUGUGAGAGGUGAAUGGAACUCAUGGUGUAGGGGUGAAAUCCGUUGAUAUCAUGGGGAACACCAAAGGCGAAGGCAGUUCACUGGCACACAUCUGACGCUCAAGCACGAAAGCGUGGGUAGCGAAUGGGAUUAGAUACCCGUGUAGUC
rnacentral:rRNA from 1 species